rnacentral:rRNA from 1 species
AUUGAACGCUGGCGGCAGGCCUAACACAUGCAAGUCGAACGAGUGGCGGACGGGUGAGUAAUGUCUGGGAAACUGCCUGAUGGAGGGGGAUAACUACUGGAAACGGUCGCUAAUCCCGCAUACCAUCGGAUGUGCCCAGAUGGGCUUAGCUAGUAGGUGGGUUAAAGGCUCACCUAGGCGACGAUCCCUAGCUGGUCUGAGAGGAUGACCAGCCACACUGGAACUGAGACACGGGCCUGACGCCUACGGGAGGCGGCAGUGGGGAAUAUUGCACAAUGGGCGCAAGCCUGAGGCAGCCAUGCCGCGUGUAUGAAGAAGGCCUUCGGGUUGGAAAGUACUUUCAGCGGGGAGGCGUUACCCGCAGAAGAAGCACCGGCUAACUCCGUGCCAGCAGCCGCGGUAAUUC